rnacentral:siRNA from 1 species
AGGCAGCGUAAGGGUAAGACAUGA